rnacentral:rRNA from 1 species
GACGAACGCUGGCGGCGUGCCUAAUACAUGCAAGUAGAACGCUGAAGGAGGAGCUUGCUUCUCUGGAUGAGUUGCGAACGGGUGAGUAACGCGUAGGUAACCUGCCUGGUAGCGGGGGAUAACUAUUGGAAACGAUAGCUAAUACCGCAUAAUAGCAGUUGUUGCAUGACAACUGUUUGAAAGGUGCAAUUGCACCACUACCAGAUGGACCUGCGUUGUAUUAGCUAGUUGGUGGGGUAACGGCUCACCAAGGCGACGAUACAUAGCCGACCUGAGAGGGUGAUCGGCUACACUGGGACUGAGACACGGCCCAGACUCCUACGGGAGGCAGCAGUAGGGAAUCUUCGGCAAUGGACGGAAGUCUGACCGAGCAACGCCGCGUGAGUGAAGAAGGUUUUCGGAUCGUAAAGCUCUGUUGUAAGAGAAGAACGAGUGUGAGAGUGGAAAGUUCACACUGUGACGGUAUCUUACCAGAAAGGGACGGCUAACUACGUG